CGCAGGUGGAGAGUGAGCCUGGUGUGGAGUUAGCCACUUCUCCCCAGAGGAAGACGAGGAUGUGGAGGGUGAAAUCGGGCUCGCAGACACGAAUAUGACCAACGUGAUGCAGUGUGACUCUCAGGAUUAUGCAGUUAUAUAAGACUUGGUCUGUUUGAAAGAUUUGAAGAAGCCAGCUACUAUGAAGUCUACAUCUUUCCACAGCCUUGGUGUUGGAACCUAAUCCUCAACGUGGUGGUAGGUUUACCACCUGAAGCAGAGAACAGCCCUCACCAGAUACUGAACCAGCUGGUGCCUUAACAUUGGACUUCCAGCCUCCAGAACUGU